GACGAACGCUGGCGGCGUGCUUAACACAUGCAAGUCGAACGGAAAGGCCCUGCUUUUGUGGGGUGCUCGAGUGGCGAACGGGUGAGUAACACGUGAGUAACCUGCCCUUGACUUUGGGAUAACUUCAGGAAACUGGGGCUAAUACCGGAUAGGAGCUCCUGCUGCAUGGUGGGGGUUGGAAAGUUUCGGCGGUUGGGGAUGGACUCGCGGCUUAUCAGCUUGUUGGUGGGGUAGUGGCUUACCAAGGCUUUGACGGGUAGCCGGCCUGAGAGGGUGACCGGCCACAUUGGGACUGAGAUACGGCCCAGACUCCUACGGGAGGCAGCAGUGGGGAAUAUUGCACAAUGGGCGGAAGCCCGAUGCAGCAACGCCGCGUGCGGGAUGACGGCCUUCGGGUUGUAAACCGCUUUCGCCUGUGACGAAGCGUGAGUGACGGUAAUGGGUAAAGAAGCACCGGCUAACUACGUGCCAGCAGCCGCGGUGAUACGUAGGGUGCGAGCGUUGUCCGGAUUUAUUGGGCGUAAAGGGCUCGUAGGUGGUUGAUCGCGUCGGAAGUGUAAUCUUGGGGCUUAACCCUGAGCGUGCUUUCGAUACGGGUUGACUUGAGGAAGGUAGGGGAGAAUGGAAUUCCUGGUGGAGCGGUGGAAUGCGCAGAUAUCAGGAGGAACACCAGUGGCGAAGGCGGUUCUCUGGGCCUUUCCUGACGCUGAGGAGCGAAAGCGUGGGGAGCGAACAGGCUUAGAUACCCUGGUAGUCCACGCUGUAAACGGUGGGUACUAGGUGUGGGGUCCAUUCCACGGGUUCCGUGCCGUAGCUAACGCUUUAAGUACCCCGCCUGGGGAGUACGGCCGCAAGGCUAAAACUCAAAGGAAUUGACGGGGCCCCGCACAAGCGGCGGAGCAUGCGGAUUAAUUCGAUGCAACGCGUAGAACCUUACCUGGGUUUGACAUGGAUCGGGAGUGCUCAGAGAUGGGUGUGCCUCUUUUGGGGUCGGUUCACAGGUGGUGCAUGCCUGUCGUCAGCUCGUGUCGUGAGAUGUUGGGUUAAGUCCCGCAACGAGCGCAACCCUUGUUCACUGUUGCCAGCACGUUAUGGUGGGGACUCAGUGGAGACCGCCGGGGUCAACUCGGAGGAAGGUGGGGAUGACGUCAAGUCCUCAUGCCCCUUAUGUCCAGGGCUUCACGCAUGCUACAAUGGCUGGUACAGAGAGUGGCGAGCCUGUGAGGGUGAGCGAAUCUCGGAAAGCCGGUCUCAGUUCGGAUUGGGGUCUGCAACUCGACCUCAUGAAGUCGGAGUCGCUAGUAAUCGCAGAUCAGCAACGCUGCGGUGAAUACGUUCCCGGGGCU
rnacentral:rRNA from 1 species